GAUGAACGCUGGCGGCGUGCCUGAUACAUGCAAGUCGAGCGAAUGGAUUAAGAGCUUGCUCUUAUGAAGUUAGCGGCGGACGGGUGAGUAACACGUGGGUAACCUGCCCAUAAGACUGGGAUAACUCCGGGAAACCGGGGCUAAUACCGGAUAACAUUUUGAACCGCAUGGUUCGAAAUUGAAAGGCGGCUUCGGCUGUCACUUAUGGAUGGACCUGCGUCGCAUUAGCUAGUUGGUGAGGUAACGGCUCACCAAGGCAACGAUGCGUAGCCGACCUGAGAGGGUGAUCGGCCACACUGGGACUGAGACACGGCCCAGACUCCUACGGGAGGCAGCAGUAGGGAAUCUUCCGCAAUGGACGAAAGUCUGACGGAGCAACGCCGCGUGAGUGAUGAAGGCUUUCGGGUCGUAAAACUCUGUUGUUAGGGAAGAACAAGUGCUAGUUGAAUAAGCUGACACCUUGACGGUACCUAACCAGAAAGCCACGGCUAACUACGUGCCAGCCGCCGCGGUAA
rnacentral:rRNA from 1 species